UACGGAGGGGACUAGCGUUGUUCGGAAUACUGGGCGUAAAGCGCACGUAGGCGGAUUUGUAAGUCAGGGGGUGAAAUCCCGAGGCUCAACCUCGGAACUGCCUUUGAUACUGCAAAUCUCGAGUCCGGAAGAGGUGAGUGGAAAUUCCUAGUGUAGAGGUGAAAAUUCGUAGAUAUUAGGGAAAGAACACCCAGGUGGCAGGAA
rnacentral:rRNA from 1 species